CUACUGACAACACAUUCAGGUUUGUGCCAAUCUAUGUUACUCAACUGGCACAGGGUGGACCAUCUGACAUAGACAAGCAUUAAACAUAUAUUGUCUUAAA